GAGAGAGACUGAGAGAACCAUGUAACCGACCUGCAAACUGGUUGGAGUCCGGCUUCAUUUGGAGUCUGCUGUGAGCUUCAAAUGACUGGACGUGAUCCAGUCCAAACACACCGUCUCUAUACGUCCCUCAGACUGGAGUUCUUUGAACAUGAAUCGCGCUGGAGCUCAAACCUUCAGCAGAGCGAGGGGGAACAUUUUAAUUCAACCACACAAGGGGAAGAGAAACCAUGACAGAGUAGCAGGUGGCCCGGAGUGGAUAAUUGUGGGGAGAGCCUAUAAAGAGGGAACAAAGGUCUUGGACUCUCUUUCUCAUUUUCCCAGCCUGAUCAGCAGCAGCAGCUUGUUUUUUUGUGUUUGUUCUGUUAUGUUGCAGUUGCCUUUGUUAGUUUCUUGGUUUGGGUUGGUGAGUUCGUGGCUUUAGGUUUAGUUAUGUGGAUUUAGGUUAGAGAGGAGAGCCCAGAUCCUACGGCCCUUUGUGGGCUGGUCUGGAUGUCUCCUCUUCUUUUUGUUAAUUUUGGCCGGCUCACCAGCUUUUAAUCAUGUCGGGCCUUCUGUUGGCGAGCUGUUUGUAGAGGGUUGUAACAGCAAUAAAGCAAAUACACAUAUUUCCUAAAAUGUAUAACUAUUCCUUUAGAGCUACUAGGAAAUUCAAAGGGAUGUGUUGACUGUAUUUGGCAUUCUGGGAAUGUUUCAUAUGAGCAGACAGAUGAAGAUGAGAUAACUUGUUUUUCACGGUGUAAAGGUGUAAGUUUGAGUUGUUUGUUUCAUAGCUCCCGCAGGAGACAUUUUUUCCAUCAAAUCACAUCAGGUGUGUGCACGUUAAACCGGCUGACAGUGACGCUCAGAGAGGUGACGAUAAACAGAUGAUAAACUGUUAAAACACAGGACGAGAGACAUUAUGGAGAGAGAGAGAGAGACAGAGAGAGAGCAAGCAAUCGAUCGGCAGAAAAUGAAAAACAGAUUACAGACUGCCGCUCAGCAAAACACCUGUCAGAGUAAAACCCAGACGCUGCUGAUUAAUGAUCAUUUAAAUUAAGUUUUAUCGAACAUAGAGAUGGAUUUGAAAAUAAGAAGGGACAAACAGGAGAUGAGAGUCGGCACAGCGGGAACAGUUGAACCAAUCUGGAGGUAAUGGGCAGUGAAUGUGUAUGCACUUAAUGAAUAUUGUCAGAACACUUUAUUUAUUUCAUAUUGCUUUUUUUUUUUUUUUCUUCUGCGGCUGGUAAAAACGUGUCACAAAUGUGUAAAAGUGAAGCAAAGAGCAGACUGGUGUGUUGAUGCUGCUGAUGGUGAACAUGUCUGCAGUGUCUCCUCUAUUCUCUGGUUUAAUCAAUAUUUAAUGUGAUUCUGUGAAAAAAUAUUGUAAAGCUUAUCAAUUAUGAUGAUUUUUUUGUUUAUAUUUUUAAAAAUGUUUAAUUUUUUUUAGAAUGUGUUUUACUGGGUAGAUUACCAACCAAAAUGUUGUGUAAGAAUUAUAUAUAUUUACUUAUAAUUUUAAGGAUUUCUGCUUUGAAACUAAAUUAUUGUCACAGAAAAGAUAUCUGUGCAUCCACGACUGGGAAGAAACAACAAGGAAAAUUCAAACCAUGAAGAAAAUUACAUUUAAAUUAAGAACAAUUUUAGAAUUACAUGAAUGAAAAUGGAAAAAGUGGUUUAAUUAUGAAAAACAAACAUAUGUGUCUGAACCAACCUGAGAUAUGAUAACUUUAUUUAUUACAUUAUAAAUUAAUGUGUAUCUUUUUUUUUGC